UAAUUGGUGUUAUUAAACACCACCUCAAAAGUUCUUUUACGAUUCA
rfam:Beta vulgaris subsp. vulgaris Bvchr6_un.sca017.con0014.1, whole genome shotgun sequence.